UAGGGAAUCUUCCGCAAUGGACGAAAGUCUGACGGAGCAACGCCGCGUGAGUGAAGAAGGAUUUCGGCUCUUAAAACUCUGUUGUUAGGGAAGAAAAAAUGUAUAGUAACUAUAUACAAAAGAGACGGUACCUAACCAGAAAGCCACGGCUAACUACGUGCCAGCAGCCGCGGUAAUACGUAGGUGGCAAGCGUUGUCCGGAAUUAUUGGGCGUAAAGCGCGCGCAGGUGGUUUAGAAAGUCUGAUGUGAAAGCCCACGGCUCAACCGUGGAGAGUCAUUGGAAACUAAGAAACUUGAGUGCAGGAGAGAGAGGUGGAAUUCAUAGGGUAGCGGUGAAAUGCGUAGAGAUUAGGAAGAACACCGGUGGCGAAAGCGGCUUUGUGGCCUGCAACUGACACUGAGGCGCGAAAGCGUGGGGAGCAAACAGG
rnacentral:rRNA from 1 species